UAGAGCUUGAUUAACUAGGACUGCAUGCUUAGCUAGCUAGGACAUGAUCGAUCGGCGCCGGAGAUAAAUUUGCUUCUUUUCUUCUUCUUCUUUGCUGCUGCUGCUGCUUCUGCUUGUUGUUAGCCUACCAUGGAUCAAUCAUCACUUACUUGUUAGUACUACUACUGCUGCUGCUUAUAUAUCUACAAGAAGAUUACUUUCAUUAAUCACUUCCAUAAUCCCAAGCUCAAGCUAGGUCACUAGCUAGCUCUUAGGCUGCUUCCAAUGGACCGGUGCUUAGAUGGGGUGCUAAGCAUAUUAAAUAGCUUAGCAACCAAAUUCCCCAAUGCAUAGGUGCUUAGCUUCUUGUAACUAAACUCUCUUCAUUUAAUAAAUCUAAGGAUCUUUUGUAGUAUAUAAACUUUGUGGCAUAUUUGUGCUACGUAUUAAGCAAAUAAUAUCCCUUGAGGAAAACACAUGAAAAUAUAGAUGACUUGAGUCCAUACAUAAAGUGCCAAUAAGAUAUUAUGAAAAUACAUGAAAUUACACCUACAAUUAAAAGUGCUUAGAAUAAAUGAUGAUAAUAAUCUAUUUUGGCCCAAACUUUUUCCAAAUAUGCUCUACCAAAUCAGUUUUGAGUGCUCUAUGAGUCCCGCGAUCUCGGAUUCUUGCAUCCCUUUGUAGCACCUGGGCGAAUACCGGUUUGUCGCCGUGUGUGAAUACUGAUGGUAGAACAAUGGAUGUACCCGCCUCCUUGUUCAAAUCAAGAAUAUUAGCCGCCGCUUCUUCUUCAUCCUCGACUACCAUAUUGUGAAGAAUGAUGCAAGCUAUCAUGACCUUCUCGAUAUCACCCCGGUCAUACAAACGUGCAGGACGACGCAAGAUAGAGAAUCGACCCUGCAAGACACCAAAAGCACGUUCCACAUCCUUCCUUGCCCCUUCCUGAUGUGCAGCAAACAACUUGUGCUUCUCUGUCUGUGGCAUCGAUAUUGUCUUCACAAAAGCUGCCCAUUCUGGGUAUAUCCCAUCUACAAGGUAAUAACCAUGUUGAUAUUCCUUGUCAUUUACAAAAAAGUUCACUCGAGGAGCUUGGCCUUUCAGCUGCUUGAUAAACAAUGGUGAUUGAUUCAGCACAUUGAUGUCAUUGUUUGACCCAGCAAUACCAAAGUAGGCAUGCCAUAUCCGGAGAUCUCGCGAAGCAACUGCCUCCAGAAUAAGACUAGGCCACCCUUUAUCACCACGAGUAAAUUGGCCCUUCCAUGCAAUAGGACAUUUUUCCCACCGCCAAUGCAUACAAUCCAGGUUUCCUAACAUGCCAGGAAACCCACGACCUUCGCCAAUGCAGAGCAAGCGCUCUGUAUCUUCAGUGUUGGGGCUUCGUAAAUACUCUGCAGCAUAGGUAUCAAUCACUCCUUGCACAAAGUUCUUCAAGCAAUCAACCGCGGUAGUCUCGCCAAUCUUGAGAUAUUCAUCAAGACUAUCUGCAGGUGUGCCAUAAGCCAAUUGGCGUAUUGCCGCCGUGCACUUUUGCAGUGGAGAGAGCCCUUCACGGUUAAGCGCAUCUGUCCUUGUGGUGAAGUAUGGAGACCACUCACCUAGUGCAUUGACGAUGCGAAGAAAGAGAGGUCGUCUCAUCCUGAAUCUUCUCCGAAAUUUUUUGGCGCCGUAGAGAGGAUUGUCGCAGAAGUAAUCUCGUACAAGCUGUUGAUGUGCUUCUUCACGCGGUCUAUUCACGUAUAUCCUUGGACCACUCCUGCUAAGUGCUCUUGCUUGAAGAGCCUCAAGUGUUCCCUUCAACUCCACAGCAAUCUCCUCGGCGAAGGAGUCUAGCAGGUCCUCCUCGGCUAGGAAUUCAUCAAGUGUGUAUAACUCUGCUGGAUAUGUAGUGUUUCUGGCAUCACUAUCAUGUUGUUGAUCUGUAUCAUCAGGAUCAUCUGGUGGAUGGUUAUACAUAGGCCUGAAACAUGUAACAAACAAGACAACAAGUGUACACAUCAGAAUAAGAUCGAACCAAAAAAAAACAGUUGGGCGACACUGUUUAGAUUCCUGAACCAGAGAACAAUAACAUGAAAGUUAAGUGAUGAACUUCUAGUGAUAAAAACAGAAUUGCGUUUGAUUUCUUAAAAAAAGUUUGUGUCUAAUUAUUUGUAUGACAAGAUAGCAUCAGUGCAAAUUUUGCUUCAUCUACUAAAAACAGAGUAAUUUUGUACACCGUAAUCUUAUUCUGUCUGAACCAAUUUCUCAUAGAACUUCAAAACUGAACUGAACUCAGUUUGAUCCUAUAUAAAAUGAUUGCUACAGACGUAUCUAGAUGUAGUAUAAUCAACUACGUUCCUUCCAACUACAAGUAACUCCAAACUAAACUGAACUGAACCAUUGUGUAUUAUGAGCUGAACUAGUAUGUUCUGAAAUCAAUUAGAACGUUCUGAACUGAACAAAAAUUAUUGAAAUCAACCAGGUCUUCUUGGCCAAUUACCAGUCAAAUUUUGGCCACAGCCCAAGUCUGAUGCAGAGAAAAAUCUCAUCUAAGCAAGAAUGGGAGGGACAAAGCAUGAGGCACACUAGCAUACAGAACAAAAAAGUAUUCUGAUUUGUGAAAGGACAAAUACCAUCGAGCAGAUUGUGGCUGGCCGGCGGAGCUACCAGCGACGGCGAACUGAACCGAGGACGCUGGUGUUGUCCCAGAUAUCUUCUCCCGCGACUGGCCGGAGGAGCUACCGGUGGCGGCGAGCUGAGCCGAGGGGGUCCCUGAUACUUUCUGCCGGCGGUGGUCCAUGGAGGCAACGCCUGAGAGGCGUGGCAGCGUCGCGGGGCGAGGAAGAGGUGGCUAUGCCGGGGCGGCGGCGCAGGGCGAGCGGGUGGAGGAGGCCAAAGGGGAAGACGGGGAAAAGAGAAGAGGCAAGGCUGUUCGGCGGCGUGCACGGCGCAUAGGAACGAAUUAACUGCGUUCCGCCUAGGUACGAGCGCCUGGAAUCAUUUCUUCGUGAGGGUACCGAUUCGCUCUCUUUCCUCAUUAAUUAAUAUGCCACGUCUGAUUUUUACCUAUGUGACAGGCUUAGCACCUGUCCAAGGUGGAGCAUUGGGAGGGGCCUUACACAUUUGUGUUUGUCGACCUUGGCCGCUUAUAUUUUGCUGUUAUUUUUGUAAGUGUGAUGGUCAAUGGGAGAGGCAGUGUCGGCAGGUGCAUGAUUUUCAAUCAUUUUUCACCUUGUACGGCCACAGGGAAAAAUAGUGAGGAACCUGCUGGCUAGUAGUAGUAGGAAAAAAUAAUAGAGUGGUGUAGUACCAUAUAUAAAUCACAGUUGUCUUUGACUGUCUGUCUGUGGUCCUUGAUCUGGAUAUAACUCUG
rnacentral:lncRNA from 1 species